rfam:Nomascus leucogenys chromosome 1a, whole genome shotgun sequence.
GCCGGGCGCGGUGGCGCGUGCCUGUAGUCCCAGCUACUCGGGAGGCUGAGGCUGGCGGAUCCCUUGAGUUCAGGAGUUCUGGGCUGUAGUGCGCUAUGCCGAUCGGGUGUCCGCACUAAGUUUGGCAUCAAUAUGGUGACCUCCCGGGAGCGGGGGACCACCAGGUUGCCUAAGGAGGGGUGAACCGGCCCAGGUCGGAAACGGAGCAGGUCAAAACCCCCGUGCUGAUCAGUAGUGGGAUUGCGCCUGUGAAUAGCCACUGCACUCCAGCCUGGGCAACAUAGUGAGACCCUGCCUCUU